rnacentral:rRNA from 1 species
UACGGGGGGGGCAAGCAUUGUUCGGAAUUACUGGGCGUAAAGGGCGCGUAGGCGGCCUGCUAAGUCGGACGUGAAAUCCCUCGGCUCAACCGAGGAACUGCGUCCGAUACUGGUGGGCUUGAAUCCGGGAGAGGGAUGUGGAAUUCCAGGUGUAGCGGUGAAAUGCGUAGAUAUCUGGAGGAACACCGGUGGCGAAGGCGGCAUCCUGGACCGGUAUUGACGCUGAGGCGCGAAAGCUAGGGGAGCAAACGGG